GGCACGAAGAAACUCUCUACUAUGAAGAGGCUCUUAAAAGUUUAUAAAAAGAGAAAAUAGGGUCCGGUUUGGGUGAGAGAAUGACGGCCGCUAUAAGUCUAUAACCAUCUCUGUAAAGAAAAACCUUCCUCACCUAUGGUUAGGAACUCUCUCAAAAAACAAGGAGAUGCUCGUGUUCAUGCUCUGCUUCUCAGGGAAAUGCUAACAAGUGCUCCAUGAGCACUUUUCUUUAUUUGGAAUUCCUAAAGAGUGCCCCUAAGGCACGGCACGGGUUGGCAUGGCCCUUUUGUUUAUUGUUCAUGGUAUCCUAAGGAUUAUGACAUGGAUGAAGACGAGUUGAUCUUGUUGAGGAUGACCGGGAGAUAUUUGAAGAAGUUGAUAUUUUGUUGGGCGAUCUCAUGAUGGAAGUUUCUUGUACAAGAUUGUAUCGAUGCAGAGUUACAACAAAUGUCCUUUCUCUUUAUAUUUUCAGGUAAAGAUUAUCCAAGCAUAGAUUUCAUUUUCUUUUUGAGAAUGUGUGUGGAUGGAUGACAGUAUAAUGAAGAAGUUAUCUUGUCUUAAAAUUUUGUUUUGUUUUGUUUUACACACAAUAAAGAAGUUUUUUUUUAUUAUGAUACUAUCCAAAUGUGUAUCAUCUUUAUAUUGGAUUUGAAUUACUUAGGAUUUCUAUUUUAUACCGCUGCUGGAAUAUGUGGCUGAGCAGUGAUUUUGAAACAAAUAAGGGGCUAUCUUUUAUAUGAGUUGUCUUUUGAAUGGGAAAAAAUAAAGAAGCUUAUGGAUUAUAAGAGCAAUGCAUUUUGUUAGAGAAGCAAAACCUGGUCUAUAGAGAAGGUAGAUAUUUUGCAGGAGAGCACAAAUAAGCAAAUCUAGUUGAGCAAAUAAGCAAAUUGUUAUGCAAUUCUUUUAUUAUACAUCAAAAUAGGAAUUGUUGUGCAAAAAGAAAGGAUGUGUACCAAUGAAAACAAACAGAUUUGAUACACUUUUGAAGAAAGAAGGAAUGCAGAGAAGAAAUAGCAUGCAUAUUAUUGAGUAA